UUCAAGAUACUUUGUGGUUUUUAAUUUUAUUUUUCAGAAGAUGAUGGUCAAGAAAGCUGGGCUAGACCAUUACUUCUACAUCUGGUUUACCUGUGAACCUAUAUUAGUUUGCAGGAUUCCAGAAGUAACUGUUGUUGUAUGUAUUAUCAGAUAAUGCAGAUUGAUGAAUUUGAUGUCUGUUUGGGAAGUGACUGGUGCAUUUAUAUAUUUUGGAAAUUAAUAUUUAUCAAGAAUAUGGACUUUAAAUGAGAAAUUUAUUUAUGACAUAUGUAUGAUUGUAAAUUGUUAUUUAUGCCAAAAUAUGAUUAUCAUUACUUA